rnacentral:rRNA from 1 species
GAGUUUGAUCUUGGCUCAGGAUGAACGCUAGCGGCAGGCCUAAUACAUGCAAGCCGAACGGCAAGGAUUUUAGCAAUAAGAUCCCUAGAGUGGCGUAAGGGUGCGUAACACGUAUGCAAUCUGCCCGCAACAGGAGGAUAGCUCGCCGAAAGGCGGAUUAACCCUCCAUAACAUGAUGGUGUGGCAUCACAUUAUUAUUAAAUCUGAGGAGGUUGCGGAUGAGCAUGCGUCUGAUUAGCUAGUUGGCGGUGUAAUGGACCACCAAGGCGAUGAUCAGUAGGGGAACUGAGAGGUUGAUCCCCCACACUGGCACUGAGAUACGGGCCAGACUCCUACGGGAGGCAGCAGUAGGGAAUAUUGGACAAUGGGUGAGAGCCUGAUCCAGCCAUGCCGCGUGCAAGGAAGAAGGCCUUCUGGGUUGUAAACUGCUUUUGCCAGGGGAUAAAAGACCCUUGCGAGGGAAUUGAAGGUACCUGGUGAAUAAGCCACGGCUAACUACGU